rnacentral:rRNA from 1 species
UUAGGGCACGACACCGGAGAGGGAGCCUGAGAACGGCUACCACAUCCAAGGAUGGCAGCAGGCGCGCAAAUUACCCAAUCCCGACACGGGGAGGUAGUGACAAUAAAUAACAAUACGGGGUUCUUAUGGAUCUCGUAAUUGGAAUGAGUACAAUUUAAAUCUCUUAACGAGGAACAAUUGGAGGGCAAGUCUGGUGCCAGCAGCCGCGGUAAUUCCAGCUCCAAUAGCGUAUAUUAAAGUUGUUGCAGUUAAAAAGCUCGUAGUUGAAUUUCGGGGUCAGUAGGUUGGCCAUGCCACUGGUAUGUACUGGUCUCACUGAUUCCUCCUUCCUGAUGAACUGUAAUGCCAUUAAUUUGGUGUUGCAGGGAAUCUGGACUGUUACUUUGAAAAAAUUAGAGUGUUUAAAGCAGGCUAACGCCUGAAUACAUUAGCAUGGAAUAAUGAAAUAGGACGUUCGAUCCUAUUUUGUUGGUUUCUAGGAUUGACGUAAUGAUUAAUAGGGAUAGUUGGGGGCAUUAGUAUUCAAUUGUCAGAGGUGAAAUUCUUGGAUUUAUUGAAGACUAACUACUGCGAAAGCAUUUGCCAAGGAUGUUUUCAUUAAUCAAGAACGAAAGUUAGGGGGAUCGAAGACGAUCAGAUACCGUCGUANUCUUAACCAUAAACUAUGCCGACUARGGAKCGGAUGAUGUUAAUUUUUUAAUGACUCAUCGGCGCC